rnacentral:piRNA from 1 species
UGACAAUUCUGAAUUGGAGAACCGGU